CUUACAAUAAAUAUCACCCUAAGCUACUAUUCAUCUUCUUAAUCAAGAAGAAAAAAAAAUCGUGCUCCACCAUAGGAGGAAACCCAAGCUCUUUUCUUCCAUUGAACCGCUCAUUUUUGUCAAAUUGUUGAAGUUAAUGAGAAAUUUAAAGGUUAUCAAGUAAAUAAAGCGAGAGAUUUCUCAGCGAUGGCCGAAAAGGAACAAAGGGAUCGGAAGAGAAAAAGGGUGCGAAGUGACUAAAACGUAAAUGUGAUAAAAGAGCUUAUGCUCAUAAGCCUGACAGGAUAGUUGGCAUUGGAGAGUAUCAGUCGAUGUUCGUUCAUGUCUGUCUCAGCGCUGCAUCCUUGGUGGGUCACUGAGCUCUAUUAGAGAUAGAUCUUUCGAAUAGUUAGUUGUGGCAUGUUAGCAUUAAAUAUUAAACUAAGCUACUUCCACUAUAUUUGUAAAUAUCAAUUAUUGAUUUAAAGAUUUGUUUUUGAAUAAUUCAGAAAUAAAAAUUUUAAAUUUCCAUA